rnacentral:rRNA from 1 species
AAUUUGGGACAAUGGGGGAAACGCUGAUCCAGCCAUCCCGCGUGUGUGAUGAAGGNCUNNGGGUUNUNAAGGACUUUUGACAGNNNNNAAAUGACAGGANCUAAUAACUUCUGUAGAUGACGGUACCUGUAGAAUAAGCACCGGCUAACUACGUGCCAGCAGCCGCGGUAAUACGUAGGUUGCAAGCGUUAAUCGGAAUUACUGGACUUAAAGGAUACGCAGGCGGCUAGGAAAGAAAGAUGUGAAGUCCCAGGGCUCAACCUUGGAACUGCAUUUUUAACUACCUGGCUAGAGUAUGUCAGAGGGGGGUAGAAUUCCACGUGUAGCAGUGAAAUGCGUAGAGAUGUGGAGGAAUACCGAUGGCAAAGGCAGCCCCCUGGGAUAAUACUAACGCUCAGGUACGAAAGCGUGGGGAGCAAACA